UUAUUUGGACAUAAAAUCACUAUUAUAACAUCUGAAAUCAUAUUUUGUAAAAGUUUACCACUUCUUACUGAGGUAUCAGUUUUUGCAAUCACACACAGUCAGAAAGUGUCAAUUUAGAGGAAGGGAACAUUUUUAAAUUAUAAGCAAAGUCUAUUUGAGGUCAGCCUAAAAAUUAAUAGAAAUAUUAAUUAAAAUAAUAAUAAAAUUGAACAAAUAACUUUGACAGGCAAAAGGUUUGACAACUCUAAAGCGUUUUGUUUAAAAAUAUAUAUUUUUGUAAUUUUAUAAUUCAGCCUAAUUGAUUGAUUGUGUGUGUACAGGUUUAAUUUCCAUUGUGGGGACCAAAUAUUCAGAGGAGUAAAACCUGAAUUUUUUAAAUUUUAGGACUGAGACUUCAACCAGAAUCGGGCCAGAUCCACAGAUCCAAAACCUAGCCAGAUCUGGCAACCAUUACUGGGCCGGAUCUGGCUCAAUUCUGGCAAGCCGCUGCCAGCAUUCCGCUGGCCACCUGGGAUGCUGGUGAGAUGCUGGUUGACCAGCUUCACCAGCAAGACCAUGCUGGUAGACCAGCAUUGUUUUGCUGGUCCACCAGCUAAACCAGCACCAAACCAGCAUAACCCAGCAUGGGAAUUAUGCUGUUUUUUCCAGCAGGGCAGUAGUUUAAAUGUUUGUCUUUACUUUGCUACAUCCUCAGUCAUUACAUUGCAACACCAUUAUGUAUCUAUCUAUGUUUGUGCUCAGCCAUUGUGUAAAGUAUGUGUCAUAUCACACAUCCCAUUCAUUAAAUGAUUAACUAAAUAGUGAAUAAUGUUAUAGCUAAACUGUCUAUUUGGUUUGUUUACAUGCUACUUCUGCUAAUGAAGCUAAUGUUAAUCAGUGGUGUUUACCAUUAUGAAGUAGCGUACUGAGAAUGUUAGCUUCAUGGUUGCUGUUGCUAAUUUAUCGUUCUUAACUACAUCAUUGAUUUUGCCUUUGUGUAUGAUAAUCAGUGGAGAAAGCCUUACCUGAUAUGAACUGAGCACUGCAGAGACGACCCUUACAAAAAAUAACUGCAGUUUAUUGAAGUACAACUGCAGUGAAACUGCAGUACAAAGCAGUAUAAAUGCAGUACAAUGAAGUACAACUGGACAAUUGCAGUAUAACGAAGUAUAUAACUGCAGUUCAUUAAAGUUGAAGAGCAGUAAAACUGAAGUACAAUGAAGUGCAACUGUAGAUUUGCAGUAUAAUGAAGUACAGAUACAAUAUAACUGCAGUUCAGUGAUACGCUGAAAUGCAGGUGAAGAUAUCAGAUGCAAAAACGUCUAAAUCUGUCUCAUUAAAUUUAUUUAAUUGUAUUUUUUUUAUGAGCAUUUUUUUUAAUAAAGCUCCUAUGAUUAGGUUCAGUAAUUUCACUUAUGGCAAUGAGGUUAUUUUCAUUGCCAAUAAAGUCGUAUUGUAUAGGCCCUGUACUGCAGUUAUGCUGUAUUGUGCAACAUGUAGCAAGUGCUGUGGUUGGCAAGUGUUUUUUUUUUUGUUUUUUUGUAAUGUAGACUUCCUAUAAAAUAUUCGUACAAAAAUAUUUGCCUAUGGAAUAUUUCACUCGCAAAGAUUACGGUAAUAACUCGCACGUGUGAUCUUCCUUCGCGCCAUAGGUCGUUGUCCUGACAACGAGUCUCGCGAGCAGCGGAUUACUUAUAACAGACAGUAAAUCAGCGUCUUUUCCGUAGUGUCUACUGCAGGAAGGAUAUAAAAGUAUAAAACACGUUUUGGUUUGACAACAUCGUUCAUAUGUGAACUAUCACAAUUAAAGCACAAAGACAUAACAACAUUACACCCCGAGACCUUUCACAAGAGCUACAAAAGAGAAGAAACGCUUUCCGGAAGAUGUUCAUCAGGCGAGGAGCGUUGACUUUGUCCAGUCAUCCAGUUUAGCGGAGACCAUCAACCCCUAAUUGACAUGAGGAAUAAAUCAUUGAAAAGUGUUCAGUGUACAGUGUACCCCUCUUUGCAGCAGAGGAAGCAUUAGGAAAGAGGAGAAGAGAGAAAGUGAGAAGGCACUCAACAGAUGUUGGAAAUGCACUGGUAACAACUAAAAAAAGACGACCAAAAAUAUAAUUCAACAGAAGAUGAUGGCUGUGGUGAAACAAGCACUCAAAUAAUGAAAUGCAUGUUAUUGUGGGUAGUUGCAUGGACUAUCAAUGGAGGAACAGAAAGCUCUGAGAUUUCAUUAUAAAGAUCUUUAUUUGUGUUCUGAAGAUGAAUGAAAGACUUGUGGGUUUGGAACGACAUGAGGACUACAUCAGAAAUAGUGUUUCCACAUCUGAGAUGAAGGCAGUCAUAAAGAACCAAGCGGAACGAUGAGGAUAAGCUCUUCAAAAAAUGAAACCUGUCUGAAUAAUGCGGGAAGAAAUGUGCAUGAUUGUGUGAUUUGUAAAUAAACACUAAAUACAUUUAGUGUAACUCUCAGCCUGUUAUUUUAAGUUUAAAGAAAAGUAAAAUCAUUUAUUGUUGCAUUGCUGUUUGAGACAUUCACUGUUGUUUUGUACCUUAAUUUAUUAUAUUGCAGUUGUGUAAAAUAAAACUUGUUAUUCUGAAUAUUCUGGUUGCAUUUCAGUGUUACUGUACAGCAUUUUAUUAGUA